CAACUGCAGAAGGUUUAGAGCAACUAGCGAGAUAAAACCAAUGCCACCGAAUCUUUAGCUGAACAGUCAGUAUGUGUCAGCGUGUCAGAUUUUCAAACAUGAUGAGUCAUUAGAAUUCUGAAUCUCCCAGGAUUCAGUGUUCCUCAGACUUCUGCGGCAGGAACGAGAUGAGUGUGGGAGUGAAAAGAGCAGAGACGUGUCAUGAUGCUUUGACAGGGGCAUCCGUGAAAACAGGGAGGACUCCGAGCUCGGAAUGUGGCCCUAACCCAGAGUACUCCCUCUCCAUCCCUGGCUGGGAUAGGAAUAAUCGAGAGUGAGGAGUUGGGGUGGAGGAGAGAUGCUGGAAUAACUGUUUUGGAACCGAGACAAGGAUGUCAGCUGCUGUGGAGGUCCAGCAGGAUGACUCAUGUAUUUCCUUCAGCAUUAGUAAAGAUCCGGUGCAGUUGACUCCUUGAUCCCAUCUGGAGUUCCAGCUUCAGGCUGCAUGGUACUUCAUCAGGACAGGUCUAACAAGGCUUUACAGCAACUGGCCUGAGAUGACCAUGUGGCAUUUACUUCCCCACAAAAUCAUUUUUAUCGGUGCAGGCCUAAAAUCCCUCUACUAUAGCCCUGACCAUUUAGGACUUAUUCUGCAGUGAGAAAACAGAGAAAACAGCACCCGGACCCCUUCAAAUGUAGUUUGAGUGAUACCUCACAAGACAUACCUGUAUAAAAUGUAAUCCACUUGUAAUCAGAUCACCCAAAACAGAUACUGUAAAAAAUCUCUUUUGGCUCACUAUAACCGCUAAAAUAAAAGCAUUUAUAUAUGCCGGGAGUGUUGUCAGCCAAGUUUUUUCAGGAGUUUUGGGGGAUGGGAAGUGCAUUGUACAUUUUCCGAGACGGCUUUGAGCUUGUGAGUUGUUUGUUUUCAGUGAGUGACUGAAGUGUGUUAAAGGCUUGAAUGGUUAUUCAUGUGCUAAUGAAGAUGUGAGUCAAAUUUCUCUC